CGCUAAGGUAAGACAGGAAAGAUACUGUAUGUCAUAGUCAACAGUGUCAAAUUUUGCACUGAAAUCCAACAUAACCAGCACAGGACAGUACAGUGACAUUACCAAGUCAUUGGUCAUUUUUAAGAAACUAAUAAACUGUUGAACACAACUCUUUACAAUGGUUUUACUGAUAAAUGGGAGAUUGGCCAACAGCAGCUUGUCCUGAAUGUUCUUUUUCAGCAGUGGUUAGAUAACUGCUGAUUUUAGAGCCUGUGGGAGAACACCAAAUAAAAUGGUUGAGUUUACUAUUUGAAUUAGAUUAGAAACUGUGAUAGGCAAAACAUUUUUAAAGUGAGCUGUGGACAGAAUAUGAAGCCAGCAGGAGGAGGAACUUAUUUGGCCAGAGCAGCGAAAGAGCUGCCAAGACCUAUUGUAAUCGUAUUGUAAAUUAUUUUUUUUGUCAUUUUCCUGUUUAUGGCUGAGUUAGUACAACUGUAUGUUACACCUGCUGUUAUGAUUACAUCAAGACAGGGAUAGGUCUGACAGUAAUGAAUUUUCUGAUGAUUUAGGCAAUGAGAGUUUUGUUGGACAUGGCUUUGAAACACAGUAGUUGGACAGGUACCAUGCAUCUGACUUUAGUGUCUCUUUUGAGAACAACAGUGGGAAAUAGAAAUAUCAUAUAUUUUUUUCUCACAGUGGCGAAGAUCAGGCGUACCAGCAGGAAGUGCAAGGUAAACUGAAGCAAACAUAUUUUCACAAAUUUUAAAGACAUAGAAAAACUGGAAAAAUGAGAAUUGAUGAGCAAAAUUAGCAAAUUUACAAUAAAACAAAUACUGAAUUGUCAUUACAUUACAUUUUUGUGGGUCACGUUAUUGAUCAUGUAUACCUCUCCCUUUUGGCUUGCCCUAAAGGAAAACCAAAAUUUUUCCCUUUUUCUUUCUUAGCAGAAUUUUUAUUCUACUAAGAAUUAAGAAAUAUAUCUUAAUUCUUCAUUCUUAGCAGCAUUAAGAUCUAAUUCUGGAGGAAUUAUUUUGUCUUUAGUCUUUCAGGAUAUUCAAUAAAAUUAUGCUGAAUUAUUUAAUUUGAAUACAUCUGCAAGUUUUGAACCCCUCACCUGAAUGCAUUCUGUCACUUUUAACUGUUCACUCUGCUAAUAUGUAACAGGAUAAGAAAUUUUUAAACCAAAAGAAGAAGCAACAGCCUCUCAGUCCUUUGACAGCGGCCACAAUUAGAAACAGUAGUUUUUUAGGCUAUUUCUCAUUCAAAGUAUGACACUCAAUUACUCUGACAGUUAUAACAGGAAAAUAUAUUAAUAAGAGCAACUUCAAUAAGAAAAUAGCAUACAGUUUCUGUGUUUAGUCUAUCUUUUUAUCUAUGGGUUAAGCCUUCCACUAAGCCCAACCCCUCAAAGUGGGAAUGGACUAGGAAUCCAUUCUGUUACGUUCACUGUUCUAUAUAAGGAGCUUAUUUUCUAUGACAGAAGAAUCUCUCAUUUAUUCAAGAGAAACUUCAACAACAGACCAGACUAUUUUCUGCAUAAACCUUCUAGGUUUUUAACCUUUGGAAAAAUGAAGAUCCUGAUCUUGAUAGUUGUGACCUUACACCUGGUCAGUGGAGCAGCUAAGAGUGAACUACAAUAUGGUGACAUCAUUUCCAGGAGUCGUGAAAUCCUCGGAUUUACCUUGAAGCACUAUGGUAUUUAUCUGGAUAAAAAGAGAUUUGAAGGCCAAAAAGCAGAUGACAACAUAUUUCACUUUACAGGUUUCCAUAGAAAUGCAUUAUUGGGUGGCUGCAUCUUUGAUAAAAUUGAUAUCCAACAUUAUGAGAAGGAUAAUUACCUGGACAAAAUAGAAAGUUACAAAAACAAAGUAUCUACAGCAGAAAUAACAAAGCGAAUUGAAGAGAAGUAUAAAAGCUGCGGGAAAGACCCAAAAACCGAUAUUUGGGAAGCCUUCUCCAACAACUGCGAACAUCUGGCUAAUUAUAUACGUUACGGAGAGAAAAUUUCAUUGCAGAUUGGCCAGAAAGCAGCAGUUUUGGUAUACAACCCCAAGAAAAAAAAGGAGGAAAUAAAUCAAAUAAAGCAACAAUUGAAAAUAUCGGAGCCUCCAUGUGAUGCCGCUUGCAAAAAACAAGGAACUGAAAUUAUGAAGCAGGAUCUAGAUGAAGAGAAGAGCACCAAGAAAAAUGAGGGCUAAAAAGCCUAAUUUCAACAAUUUUCUGUUGUUCUUCAUGAAGACAUGAGAUAAAAAUUUAAUUUAUUCAGAA